AAAUGUGUUCUGUUUACUUUCUGAGUCAAGUGCUUACUUUCCCUGUAGAUAAAUACUAGAUGACAUUGGUUCUCUAGAGCAAGUGAAGAACUAAAGUGAGGACUGAGCUCUCAUGAGAGGGGAAUCACAGGAUUCCUUAAUGAAAGUGCAGACCUAAUUGGAUGUUCUUGUCCCUGUGUUCGUUCAGUGUAAGCACUGAAAAGAUGAAGCACUGAAAAGUCUCUUGCAUGACUGGUUUACUUCUCCAUGACAAUAAGAGCCUUUGGUGAGUACCUGCCACUGGGAAAACUGCUUCUGGCUAAGAGCAAGCUGAUGAAUUCAGAAACUUUCACAGAGCUGGAUUUAGGCUACAGAACUCACAAAGGAUUAGGAAAUCUAUGGAGAUUCCAGGAUGGCUCUGGAAAAAAAGAAAGGGAAACAAUACCUAUGGACAUGGCGCAGAAUUGAAGAACCCUUGAUGUGGCCAGUGUCGGGUAUUCUGACAGGAAAAUGUUUGCUACUUUAAAAAAAUUAACAGACCUAGCUGGAUUUCAAGAAAUGUUUGUCCCAUAGGAUGACUGGCAAAGUUAAAUAGUUCAUCUUUGUAUUCAUAUACAUACUGAGUUUACCAAGAUAAGCAUGCAACAAAGAGCCUUCACAACACUCUCCCUCUGCCCUAGUUACAUGUAUAUCUCAUGAAACCAGGAGGCAUUUCUUACUAUAUCACAACGUACCAAAAAAACACAAGUGAAUGCACAGAUGAGCCAUGUUACAUGCAUGGAACAUUAGUUAGCUCUCUGCUGCCGUACACAGAAUCCAAGGUCCUUUUGCUUACCAGUAUAUUUUACAAAAGUUGGCAAUAAUUUCGUAACAUUUUGAGGCUACAAAUACCACCUCGAGCAUUACUUAUAUAGUCCACAUAGAAGCUGCAUUUAAAUAUACAGCCAACUCAGAUUGGCAGAAGUAUAUGUAGAGGAUAUAAUAUUUUCUAGCACAGCUCUUCCAAACAUACAAGGCUAUGACCUCAUGAAGAGUCAUGAUGGCAGUUCUGUUUCUAGUGCUAAGCCAGAAGUUCAGUUCACAACCAUGUGUAAAGUUGCAAGCGGAAAGGAUUUGGGAACUGGUAUUCCAGUGACAAAUGCAACUCUGCAAGUUUAAGCAAUGCCUCAAGAUUGAGUGCAUGUGUGCUCAUGUGUGUGUGAUUCAUGUCACUAGUUCUCCACCUGCUGGUGGCAUUUUUAAGGCCUAUAAACCCUAAUGCCCUUGCUAUGAGUGAUGUGGAGGUUGCCACUAGUUAACCCCAUAAAAAUGUGCAAUCAGCUAAUUGGAAAA
rnacentral:lncRNA from 1 species